rnacentral:rRNA from 1 species
UACAGAGGUCUCAAGCGUUGUUCGGAUUCAUUGGGCGUAAAGGGUGUGUAGGUGGCGCCGUAAGUCGGGUGUGAAAUUUCGGAGCUUAACUCCGAAACUGCAUUCGAUACUGCGGUGCUUGAGGACUGGAGAGGAGACUGGAAUUCAUGGUGUAGCAGUGAAAUGCGUAGAGAUCAUGAGGAAGACCAGUGGCGAAGGCGGGUCUCCUGGACAGUUCCUGACGCUGAGGCACGAAGGCCAGGGGAGCAAACGGG